AUUGAACGCUGGCGGCAUGCUUUACACAUGCAAGUCGAACGGCAGCGCGGGGGCAACCCUGGCGGCGAGUGGCGAACGGGUGAGUAAUGUAUCGGAACGUAUCCUGUAAUGGGGGAUAACCAGUCGAAAGAUUGGGUAAUACCGCAUACGCACGAGAGUGGAAAGUAGGGGAUCGCAAGACCUUACGUUAUAGGAGCGGCCGAUAUCUGAUUAGCUAGUUGGUGGGGUAAAGGCCCACCAAGGCGACGAUCCGUAGCUGGUCUGAGAGGAUGAUCAGCCACACUGGAACUGAGACACGGUCCAGACUCCUACGGGAGGCAGCAGUAGGGAAUAUUGGACAAUGGGCGCAAGCCUGAUCCAGCCAUGCCGCGUGAGUGAAGAAGGCCCUCGGGUUGUAAAGCUCUUUUGUCCGGAAAGAAAAGCGCCGGGUUAAUACCCUGGUGUCCUGACGGUACCGGAAGAAUAAGCACCGGCUAACUUCGUG
rnacentral:rRNA from 1 species